rnacentral:pre_miRNA from 1 species
GUCGCUGGCAGUGGCGUACCAGAAGUGCUUUUACACGAGUGGUAUACGAUAUCUGUAAAUGCAUUAUCUGGUAUGAAAACUGCGCGCGA